CGCGUAGGUGGCUUUACAAGUCUGGAGUGAAAGUCCCGUUUUUAAGGUGGGAAUGGCUUUGGAAACUGUAAGGCUUGAGUGUGGGAGAGGAUAGCGGAAUUCCUAGUGUAGCGGUGAAAUGCGUAGAUAUUAGGAAGAACACCAGUGGCGAAGGCGGCUUACUGGACGGUAACUGACGUUGAGGCUCGAAAGUGUGGGUAGCAAACA
rnacentral:rRNA from 1 species